ACCUUUGCUGGUUACAGACUUACUGACUGGAGCCAGGUGGAUUUGUUUGAUUUCUGUUGAUGUCAUUAGGAAGAGGAAGUGCCAGAAGGGAUUACCUCAAGUUUAAACCUAUUUCCAGCAGAGUCCCGGGGCCUUUAAUUACACAUCUUGGGUCUGUUUGGUAAAGAAGUGGUCAAAGAUGUGCUUUUUAUCUCCCUUGGGAUCUCCUGCGACUGGCAGCAUUCCACGUGUGCCUGGCGUGCCUGCGGACUCCAGCCGGGCUGGCAGGGAGGAGGGGGAGCCGGCGGCGUUCAGAGCUGAUUUAUUUCCUACCUUAGCACUGAAAGAGUAACCCAAGUCCUACGGAUGGGCAACGGCCAACCCUGGGAUUGACCAGGAGAUACAUAGCUAUGGAGCAAACGAAUGGCAUCUUCAGCUAUCAGUACGCCUGGGCAGAGAGAUCUGACUAACAGCUAGCUGGUCCUCAGAAAAUCCUUCCUUCCCUCUCUGAUUUCUCCAGGUUUUAAGGGGCCCAUUCCCCAUACUGCACGUUAUGUUGGCCUUUAUUCAGCUUGCCAUAUAAAGUCAUUUAAGACCCAAGACCCAAAAGCUUAACAUGUAAAUGCAGCUUUAUUUGAGA